GAUGAAGAACGUAGCGAAAUGCGAUACGUAAUGUGAAUUGCAGAAUUCAGUGAAUCAUCGAGUCUUUGAACGCACAUUGCGCCCCCUGGUAUUCCGGGGGGCAUGCCUGUUCGAGCGUCAUUUCACCACUCAAGCCUCGCUUGGUAUUGGGCAACGCGGUCCGCCGCGUGCCUCAAAUCGACCGGCUGGGUCUUCUGUCCCCUAAGCGUUGUGGAAACUUUCGCUAAAGGGUGUUCGGGAGGCUACGCCGUAAAACAACCCCAUUUCUAAGGUUGACCUCGGAUCAGGUAGGGAUACCCGCUGAACUUAAGCAUAUCAAUAAGCGGAGGA
rnacentral:misc_RNA from 1 species